rnacentral:rRNA from 1 species
AGGCGACGAUCCGUAGCUGGUUUGAGAGGACUACCAGCCACACUGGGACUGAGACACGGCCCAGACUCCUACGGGAGGCAGCAGUGGGGAAUUUUGGACAAUGGGGAAACCCUGGAUCCAGCCAUCCCGCGUGUGCGAUGAAGGCCUUCGGGUUGUAAAGCACUUUUGUCAG